GACGAACGCUGGCGGCGUGCUUAACACAUGCAAGUCGAACGGAAAGGCCCUGCUUUUGUGGGGUGCUCGAGUGGCGAACGGGGGAGUAUCACGUGAGGAACCUGCCCUUGACUUUGGGAUAACUUCAGGAAACUGGGGCGAAUACCGGAUAUGAGCUCCUGCUGCAUGGGGGGGGUUGGUAAGUGUCGGCGGUUGGGGAUGGACUCGCGGCUUAUCAGUUUGUUGGUGGGGUGGUGGAUUACCACGGCUUGGAGGGGUAGCCGGCUUGGGAGGGUGACCGGCCACAUUGGGCCUGGGAUGCGGCCAGGAGGCAUACGGGGGGAAGGAGUGGGAGAUAGUGCAAACUGGGCGGAGGCAGGAUACAGCGACGCCGGGUGGGAGAACACGGCUUGCGGGUUGUAAACCGCUUUCGCCUGUAACGCACAGUAAGUGACGGUAAUGGGUAAGAAAGCAACGGCUAACUACGUG
rnacentral:rRNA from 1 species